UGGGGGAAUAUUGGGGCAAUGGGGCGAAAGCCUGACCCAGCAACGCCGCGUGAAGGAAGAAGGCUUUCGGGUUGUAAACUUCUUUUACCAGGGACGAAGGACGUGACGGUACCUGGAGAAAAAGCCACGGCUAACUACGUGCCAGCAGCCGCGGUAAUACGUAGGUGGCAAGCGUUAUCCGGAUUUACUGGGUGUAAAGGGCGCGUAGGCGGGGAUGCAAGUCAGAUGUGAAAUCUAUGGGCUUAACCCAUAAACUGCAUUUGAAACUGUAUCUCUUGAGUGCUGGAGAGGUAGAUGGAAUUCCUUGUGUAGCGGUGAAAUGCGUAGAUAUAAGGAAGAACACCAGUGGCGAAGGCGAUCUACUGGACAGUAACUGACGCUGAGGCGCGAAAGCGU
rnacentral:rRNA from 1 species